rnacentral:ncRNA from 2 species
UGACCAGGCAAAACGAUCGCUGGGUUUUAAGCCUGGAGGAAAGUCCGAACACCAUAGGACAGGACGCUCCAUAACAUGGAGUCACGGUGACGUGAAGGAAAGUGCAACAGAGAGUAGACCGCCUGUAUCGGUUACAGAUACGGGUAAGGGUGAAACGGUGCGGUAAGAGCGCACCAGUUUUCCAGGUGACUGGAAAAG